CGAUAAGCGAUAGCUAUUGAAGUCGAUUCCGGGAAGUUUGACUGUUCUAGUCUCGCACUUCAAGGAACACAUCAAACAAGAAGGAUUGCGAACAGUGGCUAACCUGUCAGGAGACAACAUGUCUGCCCAGUUUGUAGAGGCGGGCAUGCUUAGGUUCCACUCCGAGUGCAAAGAGAUCACCGAUACUGUUUUCAGUAAUGAUCAGCUAUUUAGCAGUGCUCUAGAUGAGGCCUGUGCUGCAGUCGCCACCCAUCGCCCUAAUUAUGAACCCUAAUUAUUAAACAACCUUGAAGAUUCUUCGCCACAUCGACUUAAUUCAGGAGGUGUUGAGCCAGAUCUAAACCCGAUUCGCUCCUUCUAUUAGCUUGAUAAAAACGUGCAUUGCGACACUGAUUGAAAAGGAGUACCUGGAGCGGACCUCAAGUUUGAUGUACGAAUAUAGCUAUAAUGUGGCGUAAAAAAUGCAAUCUCAAUGUUAGUUCGCAAUAUCAUUCUGUAAUACUUUGGCGUUUAAACUUUUAAAAUUGUUGAAAGGAAAACAGUUUCAAGAUGGUUUUUACAUUUUUGUGUUCAAUUUAAGAAAGUGGAAACAAAUUUGUGUGUUUAUUCACACGUUCAUGUAAACCAGAACUAGUCUAAUUGUCUAAAUAAA